GGCAUGCCUAAUAGGCUUCCUGUAGCUGGACUAAAACUCCAUUGAGUCAGGGCAAGUAGUCAAGGCAGCUGUGUGGUGGCUAGAAAAAGCUCAGCCACAGUAACAGAAAGCAAGCUGUUUUCCCCUAACUCUGAAGCAUUUUGCAGCAGUGCUUUUGACUCAUGAGACUAUAUGGAGUUGAUAAACAAGGACUGUAACUAAGACUCUCAACCUAAGCUUUUGGACCUCUCAGGUAAAUGAUCCACAUCAUGAAAAAUUACACAGUCCCAGGCAACAUCCUUCAUAGCCUCUUUGAAGCCAACAUUAAAGAGCAUUGCACGGUUAAAAGGUUGUGUACCACUCUUUAUGCGGAAACAAAGGAGAAACCAAAUGAGGCAAGAGCAAGUAGAUGCUACUUUGAUAUACAGGAAAUUUACCAGCCCCCCCUCGUACUAGAAGGAAAAAGAUUAUGAACAAACAGGAAAAUGAAGGUGAAGACAACUGAGUUAGCUGCAGAAGCCAG